rnacentral:rRNA from 1 species
AAUCAACGCUGGCAGCGUGCCUCAGACAUGCAAGUCGAACGAUUAAAGCUCUCUUCGGAGAGUGUAUAGAGUGGCGCACGGGUGAGUAACACGUAAGUAAUCUACCUUCGAGUGGGGAUAACGUCCGGAAACGGACGCUAAUACCGCAUAAUGCAGCGGCAUCGCAAGAUGACAGUUGUUAAAGAUUUAUCGCUUGAAGAGGAGCUUGCGGCAGAUUAGCUAGUUGGUAAGGUAACGGCUUACCAAGGCUACGAUCUGUAUCCGGUCUAAGAGGACGGUCGGACACACUGACACUGAAUAACGGGUCAGACUCCUACGGGAGGCAGCAGUCGGGAAUUUUGGGCAAUGGGCGAAAGCCUGACCCAGCAACGCCGCGUGAAGGAUGAAGUAUUUCGGUAUGUAAACUUCGAAAGAAUAGAAGAAUUAAUGACGGUACUAUUUAUAAGGUCCGGCUAACUACGUGCCAGCAGCCGCAGUAAC